rnacentral:rRNA from 1 species
AACCUCCGCAAUGUGAGAAAUCGCGACGGGGGGAUCCCAAGUGCCAUUCUUAACGGGAUGGCUUUUCAUUAGUGUAAAGAGCUUUUGGAAUAAGAGCUGGGCAAGACCGGUGCCAGCCGCCGCGGUAACACCGGCAGCUCUAGUGGUAACAAUUUUUAUUGGGCCUAAAGCGUCCGUAGCCGGUUUAAUAAGUCUCUGGUGAAAUCCUGUAGCUUAACUGUGGGAAUUGCUGGAGAUACUAUUAGACUUGAGACCGGGAGAGGUUAGAGGUACUCCCAGGGUAGAGGUGAAAUUCUGUAAUCCUGGGAGGACCGCCUGUUGCGAAGGCGUCUAACUGGAACGGUUCUGACGGUGAGGGACGAAAGUUAGGGGCGCGAACCGGAUUAGAUACCCGGGUAGUCCUAACUGUAAACGAUGCGGACUUGGUGUUGGGGUGGCUUUGAGCUGCUCCAGUGCCGAAGGGAGCUGUUAAGUCCGCCGCCUGGGAAGUACGUCGCGAGAACGGAACGUAAAGUAAUA